CGGCGAACGGGUGAGUAACACGUUGGUAUCUGCCCCCAAGUCAGGGAUAGCCAUUGGAAACGAUGAUUAAUACCGGAUAGUCUCUUCGGAGUAAAAAUUUAUUGCUUGGGGAUGAACCUGCGGUCUAUCAGCUAGUUGGUGAGGUAAUAGCUCACCAAGGCUAUGACGGAUACCUGGUCUGAGAGGAUGAUCAGGCACAAUGGAACUGAGACACGGCCCAG
rnacentral:rRNA from 1 species